rnacentral:rRNA from 1 species
UAUCAAUAAGCGGAGGAAAAGAAACUAACAAGGAUUCCCCUAGUAACUGCGAGUGAAGCGGGAAAAGCUCAAAUUUAAAAUCUGGUGGCCUCUGGUCAUCCGAGUUGUAAUUUAGAGAAGCGUCUUCCGCGCUGGACCAUGCACAAGUCUCCUGGAAUGGAGCGUCAUAGAGGGUGAGAAUCCCGUCUUUGGCAUGGAUGCACCAGGGCUUCUGUGAUGCGCUCUCAAAGAGUCGAGUUGUUUGGGAAUGCAGCUCAAAAUGGGUGGUGAACUCCAUCUAAAGCUAAAUAUUGGCGAGAGACCGAUAGCGAACAAGUACCGUGAGGGAAAGAUGAAAAGCACUUUGGAAAGAGAGUGAAACAGUACGUGAAAUUGUUGAAAGGGAAACGCUUGAAGUCAGUCGCGUCGACCGAGACUCAGCCUUGCCUUGGCUUGGUGUACUUCUCGGCUGACGGGUCAGUGUCAAUUUUGGACCUCGGAUAAUGACAAGGGAAAGGUGGCACCUUUAUAGGUGUGUUAUAGUCUCCUGUCGGAUGCGAGGGUCGGGAUUGAGGAACUCAGCACGCGCCUUUUGGUGUCGGGGCUUCGGCCUACGCUACGUGCUUAGGAUGCUGGCAUAAUGGCUUUAAACGACC